GGUUGUGGCUCAGCGGUGGAGCACUCGCCUCAAAUGUGUGAGGCCCUGGAUUCGAUCCUUGGCACCA
rnacentral:tRNA from 1 species